AUUGAACGCUGGCGGCAUGCCUUACACAUGCAAGUCGAACGGUAACAGGUUAAGCUGACGAGUGGCGAACGGGUGAGUAAUGUAUCGGAACGUGCCCAGUCGUGGGGGAUAACUGCUCGAAAGAGCAGCUAAUACCGCAUACGACCUGAGGGUGAAAGCGGGUGAUCGCAAGACCUCGCGCGAUUGGAGCGGCCGAUAUCAGAUUAGGUAGUUGGUGAGGUAAAGGCUCACCAAGCCGACGAUCUGUAGCUGGUCUGAGAGGACGACCAGCCACACUGGGACUGAGACACGGCCCAGACUCCGACGGGAGGCAGCAGUGGGGAAUUUUGGACAAUGGGCGCAAGCCUGAUCCAGCCAUGCCGCGUGCGGGAAGAAGGCCUUCGGGUUGUAAACCGCUUUUGUCAGGGAAGAAAAGGUUCUGGCUAAUACCUGGGACUCAUGACGGUACCUGAAGAAUAAGCACCGGCUAACUACGG
rnacentral:rRNA from 1 species